AUUGAACGCUGGCGGCAUGCCUUACACAUGCAAGUCGAACGGCAGCACGGGUGCUUGCACCUGGUGGCGAGUGGCGAACGGGUGAGUAAUAUCUCGGAACGUACCUUAUUGUGGGGGAUAACGCAGCGAAAGCUGUGCUAAUACCGCAUAAUCCCUUAGGGGGAAAGCGGGGGACCGUAAGGCCUCGCGCAAUUAGAGCGGCCGAUACCUGUUUAGCUAGUUGGUGAGGUAAAGGCUCACCAAGGAGACGAUCAGUAGCUGGUCCGAGAGGACGAUCAGCCACACUGGGACUGAGACACGGCCCAGACUCCUACGGGAGGCAGCAGUGGGGAAUUUUGGACAAUGGGGGCAACCCUGAUCCAGCAAUGCCGCGUGAGUGAAGAAGGCCUUCGGGUUGUAAAGCUCUUUUGUCAGGGAAGAAACAGCAGCUCUAAUACAGUAUGCGAAUGACGGUACCUGAAGAAUAAGCACCGGCUAACUACGUGCCAGCAGCCGCCGUAA
rnacentral:rRNA from 1 species